CGAGGCGCUGUCUACGAGU
rnacentral:snRNA from 1 species